GGUGGUGAGUUAGUGUGUAAUGUGUGUGCGUGCCUGGCUCCCUGUAUGCCAUUUGCAAGAGCUCAUCAACACAGUUUUGAUGGGGCUUGGUGGAUGGCGUACUGAGUAGCCAUGCAUGCCUAACUAUCAUUGCUCCAAAUCUAACUUCUCCAUU
rnacentral:pre_miRNA from 1 species